rnacentral:ncRNA from 1 species
GUAAGUUUGGCUCUGACUUAUUUAUAUAGCUAAAACAAAAAAACACACAUGGUUUUUAUAGAGGGAGGCGAGGAUAGAAAGAUUUUAGUAUGAGCACAAAGCUUGCAAUUAAACUCUUUUUUAAAGUAUUAUAGGUAUAAAAGAUGCUUUGAAAAGUCCCGCUAACACCAGUGCUGAAGGUUAAGCAAAAAGCGAAAGCUUGAAUUAAUUCAGUCAAAAAAUCUGGUCAACUUGGUGCCAGCAUCCGCGGUUACACCAAGAGAUUAAGUUAUAUCUACAAGGUAAAAAUACAGUUAGGCUUAAAAAUACUAGUUUAAUAACUGCUUAUAAAAAAGUAAAAUUUGUAUAUAAGUCAUUAAUUCAACUUUAACUAUAAAUGCUGAAGCUGUGAUAGUUUUGAGGGAAACUGGGAUUAGAUACCCCAUUAUUCUUGACUGUAAAUGUAAUUGAUUUCACCAGAGUACUAUGAAUAUAUAAAAAAUUUAAAACUCAAAGGGCUUGGCGGUGUUUCAAACCUCUUAGGGGAACCUGUCUCAUAAUCGACAGUCCACGUUAGACCUAACCUUACUAGGUAUUUCAGUUUGUAUACCGUCGUCGUCAGGUAACUUUUAAAAAUUUAGGAGUUAGCAGUAAAAACUUUUAAAUUUAAACGUCAGAUCAAGGUGCAGCCAAUAGUGAGGAGAAGAUGGGUUACAAUUAGUAGAAUUUCUAAUCACGGAAAAUUGUAUGAAAAUACGGUUUGAAGGAGGACUUAAAAGUAAAAUAAAAUAUAAAAAUAGUUUGAAUACGGCUCUGAAACGUGCACACAUCGCCCGUCGCUCUCGUUGAAAAAUGAGAUAAGUCGUAACAUAGUAGGGGUAAUGGAAAUUGCCCCUAGAU